GGUUAAGCGACUAAGCGUACACGGUGGAUGCCCGGCAGUCAGAGGCGAUGAAGGACGUGCUAAUCUGCGAUAAGCGUCGGUAAGGUGAUAUGAACCGUUAUAACCGGCGAUUUCCGAAUGGGGAAACCCAGUGUGAUUCGUCACACUAUCAUUAACUGAAUCCAUAGGUUAAUGAGGCGAACCGGGGGAACUGAAACAUCUAAGUACCCCGAGGAAAAGAAAUCAACCGAGAUUCCCCCCAGUAGCGGCGAGCGAACGGGGAGGAGCCCAGAGCCUGAAUCAGUGUGUGUGUUAGUGGAAGCGUCUGGAAAGGCGCGCGAUACAGGGUGACAGCCCCGUACACAAAAAUGCACAUGCUGUGAGCUCGAUGAGUAGGGCGGGACACGUGGUAUCCUGUCUGAAUAUGGGGGACCAUCCUCCAAGGCUAAAUACUCCUGACUGACCGAUAGUGAACCAGUACCGUGAGGGAAAGGCGAAAAGAACCCCGGCGAGGGGAGUGAAAAAGAACCUGAAACCGUGUACGUACAAGCAGUGGGAGCACAGAGCAAUCUGUGUGACUGCGUACCUUUGUAUAAUGGGUCAGCGACUUAUAUUCUGUAGCAAGGUUAACCGAAUAGGGGAGCCGAAGGGAAACCGAGUCUUAACCGGGCGUUAAGUUGCAGGGUAUAGACCCGAAACCCGGUGAUCUAGCCAUGGGCAGGUUGAAGGUUGGGUAACACUAACUGGAGGACCGAACCGACUAAUGUUGAAAAAUUAGCGGAUGACUUGUGGCUGGGGGUGAAAGGCCAAUCAAACCGGGAGAUAGCUGGUUCUCCCCGAAAGCUAUUUAGGUAGCGCCUCGUGAAUUCAUCUCCGGGGGUAGAGCACUGUUUCGGCAAGGGGGUCAUCCCGACUUACCAACCCGAUGCAAACUGCGAAUACCGGAGAAUGUUAUCACGGGAGACACACGGCGGGUGCUAACGUCCGUCGUGAAGAGGGAAACAACCCAGACCGCCAGCUAAGGUCCCAAAGUCAUGGUUAAGUGGGAAACGAUGUGGGAAGGCCCAGACAGCCAGGAUGUUGGCUUAGAAGCAGCCAUCAUUUAAAGAAAGCGUAAUAGCUCACUGGUCGAGUCGGCCUGCGCGGAAGAUGUAACGGGGCUAAACCAUGCACCGAAGCUGCGGCAGCGACACUGUGUGUUGUUGGGUAGGGGAGCGUUCUGUAAGCCUGUGAAGGUGUGCUGUGAGGCAUGCUGGAGGUAUCAGAAGUGCGAAUGCUGACAUAAGUAACGAUAAAGCGGGUGAAAAGCCCGCUCGCCGGAAGACCAAGGGUUCCUGUCCAACGUUAAUCGGGGCAGGGUGAGUCGACCCCUAAGGCGAGGCCGAAAGGCGUAGUCGAUGGGAAACAGGUUAAUAUUCCUGUACUUGGUGUUACUGCGAAGGGGGGGACGGAGAAGGCUAUGUUGGCCGGGCGACGGUUGUCCCGGUUUAAGCGUGUAGGCUGGUUUUCCAGGCAAAUCCGGAAAAUCAAGGCUGAGGCGUGAUGACGAGGCACUACGGUGCUGAAGCAACAAAUGCCCUGCUUCCAGGAAAAGCCUCUAAGCAUCAGGUAACAUCAAAUCGUACCCCAAACCGACACAGGUGGUCAGGUAGAGAAUACCAAGGCGCUUGAGAGAACUCGGGUGAAGGAACUAGGCAAAAUGGUGCCGUAACUUCGGGAGAAGGCACGCUGAUAUGUAGGUGAAGUCCCUCGCGGAUGGAGCUGAAAUCAGUCGAAGAUACCAGCUGGCUGCAACUGUUUAUUAAAAACACAGCACUGUGCAAACACGAAAGUGGACGUAUACGGUGUGACGCCUGCCCGGUGCCGGAAGGUUAAUUGAUGGGGUCAGCGCAAGCGAAGCUCUUGAUCGAAGCCCCGGUAAACGGCGGCCGUAACUAUAACGGUCCUAAGGUAGCGAAAUUCCUUGUCGGGUAAGUUCCGACCUGCACGAAUGGCGUAAUGAUGGCCAGGCUGUCUCCACCCGAGACUCAGUGAAAUUGAACUCGCUGUGAAGAUGCAGUGUACCCGCGGCAAGACGGAAAGACCCCGUGAACCUUUACUAUAGCUUGACACUGAACAUUGAGCCUUGAUGUGUAGGAUAGGUGGGAGGCUUUGAAGUGUGGACGCCAGUCUGCAUGGAGCCGACCUUGAAAUACCACCCUUUAAUGUUUGAUGUUCUAACGUGGACCCGUGAUCCGGGUUGCGGACAGUGUCUGGUGGGUAGUUUGACUGGGGCGGUCUCCUCCUAAAGAGUAACGGAGGAGCACGAAGGUUGGCUAAUCCUGGUCGGACAUCAGGAGGUUAGUGCAAUGGCAUAAGCCAGCUUGACUGCGAGCGUGACGGCGCGAGCAGGUGCGAAAGCAGGUCAUAGUGAUCCGGUGGUUCUGAAUGGAAGGGCCAUCGCUCAACGGAUAAAAAGGUACUCCGGGGAUAACAGGCUGAUACCGCCCAAGAGUUCAUAUCGACGGCGGUGUUUGGCACCUCGAUGUCGGCUCAUCACAUCCUGGGGCUGAAGUAGGUCCCAAGGGUAUGGCUGUUCGCCAUUUAAAGUGGUACGCGAGCUGGGUUUAGAACGUCGUGAGACAGUUCGGUCCCUAUCUGCCGUGGGCGCUGGAGAACUGAGGGGGCUGCUCCUAGUACGAGAGGACCGGAGUGGACGCAUCACUGGUGUUCGGGUUGUCAUGCCAAUGGCACUGCCCGGUAGCUAAAUGCGGAAGAGAUAAGUGCUGAAAGCAUCUAAGCACGAAACUUGCCCCGAGAUGAGUUCUCCCUGACCCUUUAAGGGUCCUGAAGGAACGUUGAAGACGACGACGUUGAUAGGCCGGGUGUGUAAGCGCAGCGAUGCGUUGAGCUAACCGGUACUAAUGAACCGUGAGGCUUAACCUU
rnacentral:rRNA from 1 species